rnacentral:rRNA from 1 species
CCGGACUGACUGCUAUCGGAUUGGUACUAAGCCAUGCGAGUCAUUGUAGCAAUACAAGGCGGACGGCUCAGUAACACGUAGUCAACCUAACCUAUGGACGUGGAUAACCUCGGGAAACUGAGAAUAAACCACGAUAGAUCAUGAUGCCUGGAAUGGCUUAUGGUUCAAACAAUUUAUUGCCAUAGGAUGGGACUGCGGCCUAUCAGCUUGUUGGUGAGGUAAUGGCCCACCAAGGCUAUAACAGGUACGGGCUCUGAGAGGAGAAGCCCGGAGAUGGGUACUGAGACACGGACCCAGGCCCUAUGGGGCGCAGCAGGCGAGAAACCUUAGCAAUGUGCGAAAGCACGACUAGGUUAAUCCGAGUGGUUCCUGCUAAAGGAACCUUUUGUCAGUCGUAAAACCACAGACGAAUAAGGGGUGGGCAAGUCUGGUGUCAGCCGCCGCGGUAAUACCAGCACCUCGAGUGGUCAGGAGGUUUAUUGGGCCUAAAGCAUCCGUAGCCGGCUAUGCAAGUCUCCGGUUAAAUCCAACUGCUCAACAGAUGGGCUGCCGGAGAUACUACAUAGCUAGGGAGCGGGAGAGGCAGACGGUAUUCGGUGGGUAGGGGUAAAAUCCACUGAUCCAUCGAGGACCACCAGUGGCGAAGGCGGUCUGCCAGAACGCGUUCGACGGUGAGGGAUGAAAGCUGGGGGAGCAAGCCGGAUUAGAUACCCGGGUAGUCCCAGCUGUAAACGAUGCAAACUCGGUGAUGCGUUGGCUUAUGGCCAACGCGGUGCCGCAGGGAAGCCGUUAAGUUUGCCGCCUGGGAAGUACGGACACAAGUCUGAAACUUAAAGGAAUUGGCGGGGGAGCACCACAAGGGGUGAAGCCUGCGGUUCAAUUGGAGUCAACGCCGGG